rnacentral:rRNA from 1 species
UACGUAGGGUGCAAGCGUUGUCCGGAAUUAUUGGGCGUAAAGAGCUCGUAGGCGGUUUGUCGCGUCGAAUGUGAAAACCCGGGGCUCAACCCCGGGCCUGCAUUCGAUACGGGCAGACUAGAGUUCGGUAGGGGAGUCUGGAAUUCCUGGGUGUAGCGGUGAAAUGCGCAGAUAUCAGGAGGAACACCGGUGGCGAAGGCGGGACUCUGGGCCGGUACUGACGCUGAGGAGCGAAAGCGUGGGGAGCAAACAGG